rnacentral:rRNA from 1 species
AUGACCAAGCUCAGCAGCAGCGGCAGCAACAACGUUGAUGACGGCUACGAGUACGAAGAAGAAUACAUCAAGAACGCGCGUGGGAUGAAGCUCUUCACCUGCCGGUGGCUCCCCGCCAACGCCAGACCAAUCAAGGCCCUCGUCUUCAUGUGCCACGGUUACGCGGUGGAGUGCAGCGUGACGAUGCGCGGCACCGGGGUGCGGCUGGCGCAGGCCGGCUACGCCGUCUACGGCAUGGACUACGAGGGCCACGGCAAGUCGGACGGCCUCAGGGGCUACGUCCCCUCCUUCGACGUCCUCCUCGGCGACUGCGACGCCUACUUCACCGCCGCCGUCGCCGCCAACCAAUCUCCUCAGCUGCCUCGGUUCCUGCUGGGCGAGUCCAUGGGCGGCGCGGUGGCGCUGCUGCUCCACCGGGCGCGGCCGUCCUACUGGGCGGGGGCCGUGCUGGUGGCGCCCAUGUGCAAGAUCACGGAGGAGAUGAAGCCGCACCCGGCGGUGAUCAAGGUGCUGGAGGCCGUCACCAGGUUCAUCCCGACGUGGAAGGUGGUGCCCACCAGGAACGUCAUCGGCGCCGCCUACCGGACGCAGGCCAAGCGCGACGAGAUCCGCCGCAACCCCUACUGCUACAAGGGGCGGCCGCGGCUCAAGACGGCGCACGAGCUCCUCCGGGCCAGCCUCCGCGUCGAGAGCGAGGUGCUCACGCAGGUGACGCUGCCCUUCCUGGUCGUGCACGGGGGAGGCGACAGGGUCACGGACCCCUCCGUCAGCCAGCUCCUCUGCCGGGAGGCGCCCAGCACGGACAAGACGCUCAAGCUCUACCCGGGCAUGUGGCACGCCCUCACCUCCGGCGAGCUGCCGGAGAACAUCGACAAGGUCUUCUUCGACAUCAUCGCAUGGCUCGAUCACAGGUCCGGUCCGCCCGCGCCCGAGAGGGACGACUGA